rnacentral:rRNA from 1 species
UACGGUAGGGCGCAAGCGUUAUCCGGAUUUAUUGGGUUUAAAGGGUACGUAGGCGGUGGAGUAAGUCAGUGGUGAAAGCCAACAGCUCAACUGUUGAACUGCCAUUGAUACUGCUUCACUUGAGUGCAGUUGAGGUGGGUGGAAUUCCAUGUGUAACGGUGAAAUGCUUAGAUAUAUGGAGGAACACCGAUAACGAAGGUAACUCACUAAACUGUAACUGACGCUGAGGUACGAAAAGCGUGGGGAGCAAACGGG